rnacentral:tRNA from 1 species
GGGGAUUUAGCUCAGCGGUAGAGCGCUUGCCUAGAAAGCACAAGGCCCUGGGUUCGGGCCUUGAACACUCU